CUGGGGGAGGGGCGGGGAGGGGGUGAGGACCCGGCUGGGAUCCGCGGCUCGGCCCGCCAGGGCGCAGAGAGAGGAUGCAGCCGCAAAUCCCGAGCCGGAUCCUCGUGCCGGACGGAAGGCGUGGAAGCGGGAGGGGCCUUCGUGUGAAAAUCCCUUGUGGGGUUUGGUGUUUCACUUUUUAAAGGUUAGACCUUGCGGGCUCUCUGCCUCCCACCCCUUCUUUUCCAUCCGCGUAAAGGAACUGGGCGCCCCCUCUCCCUCCCUCCCUGGGGCGCAGGUUUCGCCGCGGACUCCGCGCUCAGCUUGGGAGACACGGCAGGGGCGCGCCCCAGGGAAAGGCGGCCGUAAAAGUUUCGCGGUUGAGCACUGGGCCUGAUGUCCAGUCCCCCCACCAAAUUACUCCUGCAAAGACGCGGGCUUCUUGCAAUUGAGCCCCCCACCUCGAGGUAUUUAAAACCACCCCAAGGCACACACGGACCCCCGUUCCCCCGCGCCACUUCCUCCUACAGGCUCGCGCGGCGCGUUAAAGUCUGGGAGACACGAGUUGCGGGGAAACAGCACCGGAAGAGCCCGGGCUUGUAAAAUGCGAAUCAAUGAAUACGAAAUAAGGGCAACCGCGAGGCAGCGCCGGGAAGGGCUGGAGCGCGCGGGGGUGCAGGGAGUCCCUCCCUGGGCGCCGCAACGGCACCUCCUCCCUUUCCCGGCUCCGUCCCGCCCUCCCUCGGCCUCUGCGGACGCGACCCACGCAGACCACAGCCGAGCCCGCCGGACCCCGGGACUACGGAAGCCAUCCCGUCCGGCCACCCACACCCGCGCCGCGGCUGGGGCUUGGGUUGGGGACUGUGGCGGCGAAGAAGCCGGGGGAGGGAGUUCUCACAAGAUCUGAUGGUUUAAGCGUGGCAGUUUCCCCUGAGCUCUCCUUCCUGCUGGUAUGUAAGGCGUGCUUUGCUUCCUCUUCACCUUCCGCCAUGAUUGUACAUUUCCUGAGGCCUCCCCAGCCAUGCAGAACUGCAUACAACUUAGGAUUCAUAACUACAUAUAUACGGAUAGAAGUGCAUGAACAGAAAAUCUGCCCUUCUGGAAUACCAAAUGCAAAAUUAAAGUGACUACAAGCAGAAUUUGGAGAAAAAAAUAAAAGAUGCAAUAUAGUUUUUAAAAUCAUUGUUAAAAUAUAAUGAGUCUGUACUUUGCUUAAACAAUAAAAAAGUCUUCGAUUUAUA
rnacentral:lncRNA from 10 species